GCUCACUACAGUGGUACCUCCUCACUGGAAGGACAGAUCCUGAAGCUGAGGCUCCAAUACUUUGGCCACCUCGUGAGAAGAGAUGACUCCCUGGAAAAGACUCUGAUGUUGGGAAAGAUUGAGGGCACAAGGAGAAGGGGCUGACAGAGGACGAGAUGGUUGGACAGUGUUCUUGAGGCUACCAACAUGAGUUUGACAAAACUGCGGGAGGCAGUGGAAGACAGGAGUGCCUGGCGUGCUCUGGUCCAUGGAGUCACGAAGAGUCAGACACAACUAAAUGACUAAACAACAACAGUGGUACGUUGGUUCUCAAAUGCCUUGGUACUCAAACACCGAAAACUCAGAAGUAAGUGUUCCAGUUUUCAAUUCUUUUUCAGAAGCUGAACGUCCAAUACUGCUGUCGGCUAUUGUUUCCGGGGCGCCUGCUGUGGGAUGUGAAACACAGAGCAGUCAAGUACAACAUCCCUAGAGUGGACAUAAAAAGGGGGUGUCUGGACCAGCCAGUCAGAACUUCCUGUUUCCUCCUAGACUGGGACAGACUUCCUCUACAUGUGACCAGAGGUGGGCGUGGCCUCACCUGUGCAGGUAACAAAAGCAUAGGACUGGCCGCCAUCUCUGUCUCUCUGACUACAUUCAUCAAAGAAGCAACAUCUGCUUAGCCUAAGAUGCUCUCUUGGCUUCCAGCCAAGAGAGGACAAAGGAGCUGUCUCCUUAUUGGAUAGUUUCCAGGUAUAUUACUUUUGUAACUUAAGUCUGCCUUCUGGGAUCCAUCUGUGAAAAGAAUGAGUGAGUGAGUAAACUCUUUUUAUACUUUUAUAGAAGACUGUGUUGUAUCUAUUCCUUUUAUGAGGGACUAAAGGGGAAUUUACCAAGUAACUUAUUUUAGAGGCUUUAGCGAGCCUGAGCAAAAACAUCUGGUGUGCAAGUUUAUAAAGGGGAAUGUUACUCUGCUAAAUUGGAAAGGAUAUAAUCAAACAAUAUAUACUCUCCUGCAUCCCUGAACAUUCCCACACCUGCACCAAUCAGAAGCUGCCUUUUGGUUUUCAAACAUUUCGGAAGUAAAUCCGACUUCCGGUGCGGAUUAAGUUUGGCGCUUUUGUUUUUGCUAUUUAUUUUGCGUUUUUGUUUUUGAGGCAUUUUCAGUUAAUUUGUUUUUGUGACUGUGUGGAACCCAGUUCAGCUACCAACUGAUUGUCUGAGUGACUGCGGAAAUAGAUAAAAGACCCCCAUCCAAACAAUGACUAUUGUAGUCAUUUAUGUAGGGGAGAGAUCUCUGGGUGUGAACACGCAAAUGAGGGACAAUGGGGUCAGAUGCGAACAAAAUGUAAGACAAAUAAUAAGUUCCUUCCUGUGCAUAUCUUAGAGUAGGUAAGAGUUGUGUAUUUUGGAAGCUAGGUGCACCUUAACUUGGCAUAUGCUUAAAGCCCUUCCAGAGCAACGUUGUAAGGAACAAUCCUCUCUUUCUAUUUUGUAUGUUCCAAAUUCACACAAAUGGAAUUUCGGGACCCCGGGGGCAAAAGGAAAUAGAGCUGCCAAAAAAGCACAUCAACAAAUUGGUGCUUGCCCGAAGUGAAGGGUAUGAGGAGAAGAAAAGCUCCGAGACUGUGACAGUGAUCUCAUAGCUGAUAAAUCACUUCUCCUUGUCAGUACAAAGGUAAAGGCAUCCUGAUUGACGUUUAUAAUCCCCCAGCAAUCCUCUCCAGUUCCUGCUUCAAAACUUCCUUAAUGGCUUCAGCUGCAGCUCGGGCAAUGUUGAAUGGGAAAGCUCCAGCACUCAAUCCAUAGAACACGUUGCACUAAUAAAAAUGUUCUUAACCUGCUUUCCCCCACUUGUCAGAAUUUGACAUUUUAAUACAGAUUCUGAGAAAGAGAGAGAGAACGAACCAGACCCAAAUCAAAGGGUGCUUCCAGAGAGUCACUAUGUUUUGCUGGAGGGAUUCAUGUGCAUACCAGAAACUUAUUUUUGUGCUUUUAAAGUGGAUUAACGUCCUUUAUUGCCCUAGAGCAACAAACCCACUUUUUCUUAAAAAAAAAACAAAAACAAAACCUAGACUUUGUGGGAGUUAAGAAAGUGAUGGGAAAAUGCACUGAAAACUGUGGGAUGAAUGAAUGAGGGGAAAGAAGACAUGAAAACACCCAGCAGGGAAAUACAGAUGACUGCCCAUUAUUGUGCAGCUGCCCCAUAAUAAAAUCAGAAUGAUUUGUGCAAACAAAUUG
rnacentral:lncRNA from 1 species